AGCUGGAUUGAGGAAAUCAAUCAACGGCAAGCAGAAGUACAAGAUGCCCAACUGACGGUUGAGCAGCUUCAACAACAAUAUCAGUUGCUCAGGGCCCAAAAUGAGAUGUUGAAGUUGGUUGCAGUAUGCUGAGCGGAUUCCUAUUGGGUUGGAAAAGGUGAUUCGAACAGUUUCUUCUAAAACGGUCAAGCAAUUUUAUAAUAGAUGGUACCAUUUACACAAUAUGGCUGUGGUCGCUCUUGGAGAUUUUACUGAUACACAGUGUAGUUGAAUUGAUAAGGACUCACUUUGGGGGAAAAGUU